rnacentral:rRNA from 1 species
CCUACGGGAGGCAGCAGUGGGGAAUAUUGGACAAUGGGGGAAACCCUGAUCCAGCGACGCCGCGUGAGUGAAGAAGUAUUUCGGUAUGUAAAGCUCUAUCAGCAGGGAAGAAAAUGAUGGUACCUGACUAAGAAGCCCCGGCUAACUACGUGCCAGCAGCCGCGGUAAUACGUAGGGGGCAAGCGUUAUCCGGAUUUACUGGGGGUAAAGGGAGCGUAGACGGCAGUGCAAGUCUGGAGUGAAAUGCCGGGGCCCAACCCCGGGACUGCUCUGGAAACUGUGGAGCUGGAGUGCAGGAGAGGUAAGCGGAAUUCCUGGUGUAGCGGUGAAAUGCGUAGAUAUCAGGAGGAACACCGGUGGCGAAGGCGGCUUACUGGACUGUAACUGACGUUGAGGCUCGAAGGCGUGGGGAGCAAACAGGAUUAGAUACCCGUGUAGUC